GGGGGCGACCUGGUUUCGACGUGGGUUGCGAAACCCGAGGUGCAUGCCGAGGAUGUAGCUGGCCUCGUAAAAUACGCUGCAAACCUAUAGUUGCAAACGAUGACAACUACGCAUUAGCUGCCUAAACACCAGUGUAAUGCCAUCCGACCUGUCCAGCUUGCGGGGCAGGACCCGGGUGUAACCUAAGCAAGCUCGUGGUGAAGCCUGCCUGAAGCGGAUCCAUCAAACUUUUUUCAGGCUCGCGUUUACUCUCCCCGUUCGCCGGGCAGUAAGUGCUAAAUCAAAGGCGAUACUAAGCAUGUAGUACCAACGGCGGAGAAUUUGCGGACGCGGGUUCGAUUCCCGCCGCCUCCACCA
rnacentral:tmRNA from 1 species